UACGUAGGCAGCGAGCGUUGUUCGGAUUUACUGGGCGUAAAGGGUGCGUAGGCGGUCCCUUAAGUUUGGUGUGAAAUCUCCCGGCUCAACUGGGAGGGUGCGCCGGAUACUGAGGGGCUAGAGUGCGGGAGAGGAAAGUGGAAUUCCUGGUGUAGCGGUGAAAUGCGUAGAUAUCAGGAGGAACACCGGUGGUGUAAACGGCUUUCUGGACCGUAACUGACGCUGAGGCACGAAAGCGUGGGGAGCAAACAGG
rnacentral:rRNA from 1 species